GACGAACGCUGGCGGCGUGCUUAACACAUGCAAGUCGAACGGAAAGGCCCUGCUUUUGUGGGGUGCUCGAGUGGCGAACGGGUGAGUAACACGUGAGUAACCUGCCCUUGACUUUGGGAUAACUUCAGGAAACUGGGGCUAAUACCGGAUAGGAGCUCCUGCUGCAUGGUGGGGGUUGGAAAGUUUCGGCGGUUGGGGAUGGACGCGCGGCUUAUCAGCUUGUUGGUGGGGUAGUGGCUUACCAAGGCUGUGACGGGUAGCCGGCCUGAGAGGGUGAACGGCCACAUUGGGACUGAGAUACGGACCAGACUGCUACGGGAGGCAGCAGUGGGGAAUAUUGCACAAUGGGCGGAAGCCUGAUGCAGCAACGCCGCGUGCGGGAUGACGGCCUUCGGGUUGUAAACCGCUUUCGCCUGUGACGAAGCGUGAGUGACGGUAAUGGGUAAAGAAGCACCGGCUAACUACGUG
rnacentral:rRNA from 1 species